rnacentral:rRNA from 1 species
GACGAACGCUGGCGGCGUGGAUUAGGCAUGCAAGUCGAACGGUAUCAUCCUUUCGGGGGUGAGAGAGUGGCGAACUGGUGAGUAACACGUAGGUUAUCUACCCUCAAGACGGGGACAACCCAGGGAAACUUGGGCUAAUACCGGAUGUGAGCAACUUUUAGUUGUUUGAAAGGUGGCGUAAGCUGUCGCUUGGGGAUGAGCCUGCGUCCUAUUAGUUAGUUGGUGAGGUAACGGCUCACCUAGGCAAUGAUAGGUAGGCGGCCUUAACGGGUGGUCGCCCACACUGGGAUUGAGAUACGGCCCAGACUCCUACGGGAGGCAGCAGUCGAGAAUAGUCUACAAUGGUCGGAAGACUGAUAGUGCGACGCCGCGUGAACGAUGAAUCCCUUCGGGGUGUAAAGUUCUUUUAUAUGUGAGCAGUGCUUCUUAUAUUAACAGUAUGGGGAGAGAGAUAUUAGUCAUAUGAAUAAGCAACGGCUAACUCCGUGCCAGCAGCCGCGGUAAACUCG